AUUGAACGCUGGCGGCAGGCCUAACACAUGCAAGUCGAGCGGAUGAAGGGAGCUUUCUCCUGUCUUCAGCGGCGGACGGGUGAGUAAUGCCUAGGAAUCUGCCUGGUAGUGGGGGAUAACGUCCGUACACGGGCGCUAAUACCGCAUACGUCCUGAUGGUGAAAGUGGGGGUUCUUCGGACCUCACGCUAUUUGCUGUGCCUAGGUCGGAUUAGCUAGUUGGUGGGGUAAAGGCUUACCAAGGCGACGAUCCGUAACUGGUCUGAGAGGAUGAUCAGUCACACUGGAACUGAGACACGGUCCAGACUCCUACGGGAGGCAGCAGUGGGGAAUAUUGGACAAUGGGCGAAAGCCUGAUCCAGCCAUGCCGCGUGUGUGAAGAAGGUCUUCGGAUUGUAAAGCACUUUAAGUUGGGAGGAAGGGCAGUAAGUUAAUACCUGGAUGUUUUGACGUUACCAACAGAAUAAGCACCGGCUAACUUCGUG
rnacentral:rRNA from 1 species